rnacentral:rRNA from 1 species
UGGGGUGUUAGGUGUCUGGGGAUCUUGGUUAUAGAGGGGGAUAACCUCUGGAAACUGUGGCGAAAACCGGAUCACCUCGCAAGACCAAAGAGGGAGACUUUUAGGCAUCUCACUAUCGGAUGAACCCAGAUGGGAUUAGCUAGUACGCGGGGUAACGGCCCACCUAGGCCACGAUCCCUAGCUGGUCUGAGAGGAUGACCAGCCACACUGGAACUGAGACACGGUCCACACUCCUACGGGAGGCAGCAGUGGGGAAUAUUGCACAAUGGGCGCAAGCCUGAUGCACCCGUGCCGCGUGUAUGAAAAAGGCCUUCGGGUUGUAAAGUACUUUCAGCGGGGAGGAAGGCGAUGUGGUUAAUAACCGCAUUGAUUGACGUUACCCGCAAAAAAAGCACCGGCUAACUCCGUGCCAGCACCCGCGGUAAUACAGAGGGUGCAAGCGUUAAUCGGAAUUACUGGGCGUAAAGCGCACGCAGGCGGUCUGUUAAGUCAGAUGUGAAAUCCCCGGGCUUAACCUGGGAACUGCAUUUGAAACUGGCAGGCUUGAGUCUCGUAGAGGGGGGUAGAAUUCCGUGUGUAGCG